UUUCUAUGUCCUUGAACGUUGACGGUCAGCUCGACAAGUCUUCCGUGAAAAUCGAGGAAAUCGAUGGUCCUUAUUUUUCUUUUUCCAAUAUUUUUCCUGGCUGCCAAACAGCGCCUCACACUCCUCACGACGUUCGCGCUCUCUGCUGUUGAGGCAAAUAAAUGUAAUCUGAUGACUUGAAGAGUUACAGGCUGAGGAAAAUAUAUGUAAUCUGAUGACUUGAAGAGUUAAAGAAUUUACAUUUUUUGGAGUGUGGCUUUUGGAUUCGGUUCUACGUCAUACCCCAUAUAAGGCUGAGGCAAAUAUAUGUAAUCUGAUGACUUGAAGAGUUAAAGGUAUGAUCCUAAUUUCUAACUUCUGCCGAACUUCAUGUCCAGAUAUGCUGUUUUACUUUUAUCCUGUGUCCAAUCAAUGGGAAAGAAUCUUAACCUCUUUGGUUUAAUAUAAAUUGUGUGAUUUUGAGGCGUUGA